UACGAAGGGGGCUAGCGUUGCUCGGAAUCACUGGGCGUAAAGCGCACGUAGGCGGCUUCUUAAGUCAGGGGUGAAAUCCUGGAGCUCAACUCCAGAACUGCCUUUGAUACUGAGGAGCUUGAGUCCGGGAGAGGUGAGUGGAACUGCGAGUGUAGAGGUGAAAUUCGUAGAUAUUCGCAAGAACACCAGUGGCGAAGGCGGCUCACUGGCCCGGUACUGACGCUGAGGUGCGAAAGCGUGGGGAGCAAAGCAGGAUUAAGAA
rnacentral:rRNA from 1 species